rnacentral:rRNA from 1 species
CCUACGGGAGGCAGCAGUGGGGAAUAUUGCACAAUGGGGGAAACCCUGAUGCAGCAACGCCGCGUGGGUGAAGAAGUAUUUCGGUAUGUAAAGCCCUAUCAGCAGGGAAGAGAAUGACGGUACUUGAACAAGAAGCCCCGGCUAACUACGUGCCAGCAGCCGCGGCAAUACGGAGGGGGCAAGCGUAAUCCGGAUUUGCUGGGUGUAAAGGGAGCGUAGGCGGUGGUGCAAGGCUGGAGUGAAAGCCACGGGCUGAACUGCGGAACGGCUUGGGAAACUGGGAGAUUGGAGUGAUGGAGAGGGAAGCGGAAUUCCCGGUGUAGCGGUGAAAUGCGUAGAGAUCAGGAGGAACACUGGCGGCGAAGGCGGCUUACUGGACAGUAACUGACGUUGAGGCUCGAAAGCGUGGGGAGCAAACAGGAUUAGAUACCCUUGUAGUC